UACGGGGGGAGCAAGCGUUGUUCGGAUUUACUGGGCGUAAAGGGCGCGUAGGCGGUCAGCGCAAGUCAGUUGUGAAAUCUCCGAGCUUAACUCGGAAAGGUCAACUGAUACUGCGCGGCUAGAGUGCAGAAGGGGCAACUGGAAUUCUCGGUGUAGCGGUGAAAUGCGUAGAUAUCGAGAGGAACACCUGCGGCGAAGGCGGGUUGCUGGGCUGACACUGACGCUGAGGCGCGAAAGCUAGGGGAGCGAACGGG
rnacentral:rRNA from 1 species